CAAACACUCAUUAACCCCAUAAAAGCCACGUUACAUAAUUCAUAACAGCGGCACGUAUUGAUGCUGAAGCUGUUUUGUGUACGCUCUCAUUAGUUGUUGAAUGUGACGGCUCCAUCUAGUGGCCGUCUAAUUCUUAUUUCUACAGAUGUCCAUGGCGUCUGUUCUCUUUGAUGCACAGCAGCCGAAAUGAAAAGCAGGAAACUGAGUCGCACACGCGGCACAACGUUCUGCAGGAGAAGCAUGGAGCUGAAAUCAGGUUCCUGACCUCCCAGGAGAAGUCGCUGACGUGGAACCUGCAGGAGGUCUUUAGUCUCCCAGAGUUGGAGAGAAAACAGGAAGUCCUCAGGUUGAUAGAUGAGUCGCUUUCUGCUGAACAUGCACGUAGCCCUCAGUGAAGCCGAGUUCUGGCCGACAGCAGCUUGGGCUCAUACGCGCUAACUGCUUUAAACUGUUGUAAUGUUUGUUUUCUGUAGUUAGAGUCAAACCCUUCAACUCUGCUGCCUGGUGGCACUGUGUCCACCAGGCUGCACCCGGACCAGACAAGCAGCGGAGGAUGCGUGAGUGCAGCCACGUCAACGCAGCACCAGCAUCUCCACUAACAAUGAGCUUGAACUCUGUGUGCACAUCCCAAAGAAACAACGCACAACUGAGUGGACCUCUACUUUGUACUGUCCCUGAAUGCAGCACAUUGGACCGGCAUGUAACUACACCUGAGGAGCUGAGCUGAGCAGCAUCAACGGACUCAGUGAGUCACACUCACAGUCCUAACGUCUGCUAUGCAGAAGAACAGAACGCCUGGAGAUGCUUCCUGUCCAGGGUGGUAGAAAGCAGCUCCAUGCUCCAUGUCCAUGCAGGUACAUGACGUCCCACGGUUCUAGAUGUCCUCCCACUCCGGCACCAGGGAGCGUCCAGACCGGGUAAAGUGGAGGAAGUGAAGCCGGUCACAGAUCACAGCAGAUGUUGCUUGGCCUCCAGCUGAGGCAGAAACCUGCUCCGUCGGCCCUGAGCUCCACCCCUGCUGCGACGCUGACCCACCAUUUAAUUUGACUUUUCCCAUUAGUGUUUGUGGCUGGUUAAGUGGUGAUGGAGGGGGGUUAAUCACCGGCUGCCCGUCCGGGAGCAGCAGCCAUAUGUGGAGGCUGGUUCAGAAGCAGGACGGUUUCACCAGCAGAGACCAGACGCGUGGUUAGAGUUGGUCGCAUCGCGGCUUCGUUUCCUGAAGACGAGCGGCAGCUGCAAUGCUUCCUCCUGAGAUGCACCUUUCAUCAGACUCAACACAUUCUGCGCUGCAUUGGACUGAAGCACGUUUGUCAGAGGGCACCUUCUAUGGAGCGAGUCAUGACACAAGCAGCAAAGCUCUGCGCUGAGGUCGCUUUGACUCCUCCUCCAAGUGUGAGCGUCUCCACCAACACACUCCACACUGCGCGGCUGGAGGCUGCAGGUCCCUGAAGCAGGAUCAUGGCUGAGGUGACAACUUGAUGACCAUUCUAUGGCGUCACAUUUGAAGACGUUUGUAAUGAAGCCCAACACAAAGCCUGGUGUUUUGCUGGUGGUGGACGUGAGGGCCUGUUUGACAGACAGGGGGUGGGCGUGGGAGUGCCGGCCAGCGGGUCGGCCUCGGCCGCUCUUUGAUGCCUUGUUGCCGGGUGACGUGACGUCAGGAUGCCCUCUGCUAAUUAAAGCCCGCCUCCGGGUCCUGUGGGUCAGAGGAUUACUGGCCCUCACGUUCAGCCAGAUGGGUUUUUAUUGUGAAAGGUGCUUUACUGAGGUGCCUCUGAGCCAGGCACUGCACGGCACAGGACCGAGGUCAGAGCAGGAGGUCGGCGUCCUGUUUAAACCUGUAGCUGCACCCUGAGUGACCAUGAGCGUCUGACGAGGCUCUGCCGACGCGUGAGGGUGGGGGUUUGUGAGGAUGUGAGCGCUCGCCUCAGAUGUUGAAGGCCCCCUGCUGGGACCCUAAUAACGGCCUGACUGCCAGCAGGUCCACAGGUCCAAGAUCCGGAUUGUUCUCAGCUCAUCUGGAGUCAAGUUCUUCUACUUUGAAUAUUGAGUUUGUACAUUUCUGCGAAGUACUUUUAUUUAAAACCACAAACCAUGUGUAGAGUUUAACUCACACUGAAGCCAUGAGCUGCUCUCGCUGGACGCUACUGUACAAUCAGACGCUGGUUAAUGUGUGUGUGUGUGUGUGUGUGUGUGUGUGUGUGUGUGUGUGUGUGUGCGUGUC